rnacentral:rRNA from 1 species
CGACCCGGCCAUAGCGGCCGGGCAACACCCGGACUCAUAUCGAACCCGGAAGUUAAGCCGGCCGUGUUGUCAAGGCUGUGAGGUCCGCAAGGACUCGCAGCCUUGGCAAGCCGGGAUCG